rfam:Ixodes scapularis strain Wikel colony gcontig_1108379423184, whole genome shotgun sequence.
UCCGGCGUGGUCUAGAGGUUAGGAUAUCUGGCUUUCACCCAGAAGGCCCGGGUUCGAUUCCCGGCGUCGGAA